rnacentral:rRNA from 1 species
GUGAGGAAUAUUGGGCAAUGGGCGAAAGCCUGACCCAGCAACGCCGCGUGAAGGAAGAAGGUUUUCGGAUCGUAAACUUCUAUCCUUGGUGAAGAUAAUGACGGUAGCCAAGAAGGAAGCCCCGGCUAACUACGUGCCAGCAGCCGCGGUAAUACGUAGGGGGCAAGCGUUGUCCGGAAUGAUUGGGCGUAAAGGGCGCGUAGGCGGCCCGGUAAGUCUGAAGUGAAAGUCCUGCUUUUAAGGUGGGAAUUGCUUUGGAUACUGUCGGGCUUGAGUGCAGGAGAGGUAAGCGGAAUUCCCGGUGUAGCGGUGAAAUGCGUAGAGAUCGGGAGGAACACCAGUGGCGAAGGCGACUUACUGGACUGUAACUGACGCUGAGGCGCGAAAGUGUGGGGAGCAAACAGGAUUAGAUACCCGGGUAGUCC